CGCGGCCUAUCAGCUUGUUGGUGAGGUAACGGCUCACCAAGGCGAUGACGGGUAGCUGGCGUGAGAGCGCGAUCAGCCACACUGGGACUGAGACACGGCCCAGACUCCUACGGGAGGCAGCAGUGGGGAAUCUUGCGCAAUGGGCGAAAGCCUGACGCAGCGACGCCGCGUGGGGGAGGAAGGCCCUAGGGUUGUAAACCCCUGUCAGGUGGGACGAACCGGGGAUCGGCGAAAGCCGGUUCCUCUGACGGUACCACCAGAGGAAGCUCCGGCUAACUCCGUGCCAGCAGCCGCGGUAAAACGGAGGGAGCGAGCGUUGUUCGGAAUUGCUGGGCGUAAAGGGCGCGUAGGCGGCCCUGUAAGUCGCAUGUGAAAGGCCGGGGCUCAACCCCGAGUAUUGCAUGCGAUACUGCAAGGCUAGAGACAGGUAGGGGCGAGCGGAAUUCCCGGUGUAGCGGUGGAAUGCGUAGAUAUCGGGAAGAACACCGGUGGCGAAGGCGGCUCGCUGGGCCUGUUCUGACGCUGAAGCGCGAAAGCGUGGGGAGCGAACAGGAUUAGAUACCCUGGUAGUCCACGCCGUAAACGCUGGGUACUAGACGUUGGGAGGCUUGGCCCUCUCGGUGUCGCAGCUAACGCAUUAAGUACCCCGCCUGGGGAGUACGG
rnacentral:rRNA from 1 species